GAUUUGCUAAUUCUGAGGUGGAGUCCAAGAAUCUGCAUUUCUGAGAGGUCCUCAGGUGAUGCAGAGUUCUGGGGACCA
rnacentral:miRNA from 1 species